rnacentral:rRNA from 1 species
UACAGAGGUCUCAAGCGUUUGUUCGGAUUCAUUGGGCGUAAAGGGUGCGUAGGCGGCGCGGUAAGUCGGGUGUGAAAUCUCGGAGCUUAACUCCGAAACUGCAUUCGAUACUGCCGUGCUUGAGGACUGGAGAGGAGACUGGAAUUUACGGUGUAGCGGUGAAAUGCGUAGAUAUCGUAAGGAAGACCAGUGGCGAAAGGCGGGUCUCGUGGACAGUUCCUGACGCUGAGGCACGAAGGUCAGGGGAGCAAACGGG